rnacentral:rRNA from 1 species
AUGGUUUUUGAAGACGAGAGCAGCAACGAGAACUCAAGCCUCCCGUACAUGCACUCCGAAACCUCCACCGAUGGGCUCAAUCAGGAAGGUCAGAAUUGUGGGUUUGUUCAGUGGGUUGAUGAGCAGUGGCCCCCAACAAUGGAGAAUGCAUUGCUGAAGCUUUGGUCAAUGGUUGAAGAGAGCAAGUCUGCUAGGGUGGAUGAUAAUCUUCAAAGUUCUUUAACUAUUCACCAUUUGACAGAAGAAAAUAAGAAGCUGGAUGCACAAUAUGACAAGUUAGUGAAAGAUGUGCAUCAACUUGUGGACUUUCAGCAGGAUAGGGUUGUGGAUUUCAGUUAUCUGCAGUCGGCUGUCACAUAUCAGCACCAAUGCAGAGCUGAAUUGGUGGCUGGUAUGAAUGCAGAAAUGGCAAAGAAAGAUGCAGCUCUAGAGAAGCUUCAACAGAAGUUUGAAAUCCUGUGCAACCUGACAAGUGCUCAAGCAACUGCCAUCCAAAACCUCAAGUUGAAGAAUAUGAAAGAGAAGCAAUUGAGGAUGGAGGCUCAAGAGAAUUUGGAGCUGAAGAAUGCAGAGUUCACAAAGUUUGAGGAGAAGCUCACCCAAGAGAAGCUAGAGUUGAAGUUCCAGGUUGAUGAUCUGCUGAAGCUCAAGGAAAACCAUAAUGAAGAGAAGCAGAUGCAAGAGUUUAAGAUUACUGAGCUCAUGAAGGCAGAGGAGAAGCUGAAGGAGAAGAUCAAGGGGAUCCAGGCCAUCUUGGAGAACUGA